GGCUAGUCCGAAGGUAGUGAGCAAUCUGAAUUGAUUGUUCAGUCAGUACAGAUCAAACUCCUUGUUCUACCUUUGCCGCCUUCUCACUAUUGCAAUUAACUAGUCUUAA
ensembl:misc_RNA Y_RNA Y RNA